rnacentral:lncRNA from 1 species
CAGAGAUGGAGCAGAGGGGUCUUGCUUGUUGCCCAGGCUGGUUUCGAACUCCUGGCUUCAAGUGAUCUUCCUUGCAUCGGCCUCCCAGAGUGCUGGUGUUACAAGUGCGAGCCACUGCACUGGGCUGAAAGCCUGCUUCUUUAGAAGGUUAUUAGAAUGUGCACUCCUCAGAACAGGCACUCUACCCAGUCACAAAUGCUAAUGCCUUUGUGGGCCAGGCAGGUGAUAUAAAGGAACACAUGUUUGUUUUUGUCAGUUAUGGGCAGUGUUAGGAAUUCAAUAUGCUGGAGAGAGGACCCUGUCGAAUGACAUUCAGCAUUAGUUAAAUGAAAAACACUAGGCAUGCCCAACCAAACUGUCGGAGGUUGUGAUCUCUGCUAUUUUCUCCCUACAGGUAAUUUGGUUGGCACUUCUCUGGCAGGCAUUAUGCAAAAGUACCUUGCUUGAAGCUUUAUGUACACUGUCUUAUAUAACUGUUCCCACAGCCCUGUGAGAUACGUACAACUGACCUUUGAGCGACACGGAUUUGAACUGCAUGGGUCCACGUAAUACAUGAAUUUUCUUCUGCCACUGCCACCCCUGAGACAGCAAGACCAACCUCUCCUCUUCCUCCUCCUCUUCUUCCUUAGCCUACUCAACGUGAAGACAACGAGGAUGAAGCCCUUUAUGAUGAUCCACUUCCACUUAAUGAAUAGAAAAUAUAUUUUGUCUUUCUUCCAAUUUUCUUUUUCCUUCCUUCCUUCCUUCUACCUUCCUUCCUCCUUCCUUCCUUCCUUUCUCUCUUUCUUUCUUUCUUUACUCUUUUUUUUUUGGACAGUCUUGCUGUGUUGCCCAGGCUAGAGGGCAGUGAUCUAAUCAGAGCUCACUGCUGCCUCAACCUCCUGGGCUCAAGCGAUCAUCCCACCUCAGCCUCCCAAGUAACUUGGACUACCAGCUAGGACUCCCAAGUAGCUGGGACUACCACACUUAGCUAAUUAUUUAUUUAUUUAUUUAUUUAGUAGAGACACGGGUCUCACUAUGUUGCCCAGUCUGGUCUCGGACUCCUGGGCACAAGCCAUCCUCCUGUCUUGGCCUCCCAAAGUGGUGGGAUUACAGGUUUGAGCUACUGUGCCUGGCCAGGAUUUUCUUACUAACAUUUUCUUUUCUCUAGCUCAUUUUAUUGUAAGUCUACAGUAUAUAAUACAUGUAACAUACUAAAUGUGUCUUAAUUAAAUGUUUAUGUUAUUGG